rnacentral:rRNA from 1 species
AGCGAACGCUGGCGGCAGGCCUAACACAUGCAAGUCGAACGAAGUCUUCGGACUUAGUGGCGGACGGGUGAGUAACACGUGGGAACGUGCCUUUAGGUUCGGAAUAACUCAGGGAAACUUGUGCUAAUACCGAAUGUGCCCUUCGGGGGAAAGAUUUAUCGCCUUUAGAGCGGCCCGCGUCUGAUUAGCUAGUUGGUGAGGUAAAGGCUCACCAAGGCGACGAUCAGUAGCUGGUCUGAGAGGAUGAUCAGCCACAUUGGGACUGGGACACGGCCCAAACUCCUACGGGAGGCAGCAGUGGGGAAUUUUGCGUAAUGGGCGAAAGCCUGACGCAGCCAUGCCGCGUGAAUGAUGAAGGUCUUAGGAUUGUAAAAUUCUUUCACCGGGGACGAUAAUGACGGUACCCGGAGAAGAAGCCCCGGCUAACUUCGUGCCAGCCGCCGCCGUAAGAC